rnacentral:rRNA from 1 species
UAUACCGUGAAACUGCGAAUGGCUCAUUAAAUCAGUUAUCGUUUAUUUGAUAGUACCUUACUACUUGGAUAACCGUGGUAAUUCUAGAGCUAAUACAUGCUAAAAACCCCGACUUCGGAAGGGGUGUAUUUAUUAGAUAAAAAACCAAUGCCCUUCGGGGCUUCUUGGUGAUUCAUAAUAACUUAACGAAUCGCAUGGCCUUGUGCCGGCGAUGGUUCAUUCAAAUUUCUGCCCUAUCAACUUUCGAUGUUAAUGUAUUGGAUUAACAUGGUUUCAACGGGUAACGGGGAAUUAGGGUUCUAUUCCGGAGAGGGAGCCUGAGAAACGGCUACCACAUCCAAGGAAGGCAGCAGGCGCGCAAAUUACCCAAUCCCGACACGGGGAGGUAGUGACAAUAAAUACUGAUACAGGGCUCUUUUGGGUCUUGUAAUUGGAAUGAGUACAAUUUAAAUCCCUUAACGAGGAACAAUUGGAGGGCAAGUCUGGUGCCAGCAGCCGCGGUAAUUCCAGCUCCAAUAGCGUAUAUUAAAGUUGUUGCAGUUAAAAAGCUCGUAGUUGAACCUUGAGCCUGGCUGGCCGGUCCGCCUCACCGCGUGCACUGGUCCGGCCGGGCCUUUCCUUCUGGGGAGCCGCAUGCCCUUCACUGGGUGUGUCGGGGAACCAGGACUUUUACUUUGAAAAAAUUAGAGUGUUCAAAGCAGGCCUAUGCUCGAAUACAUUAGCAUGGAAUAAUAGAAUAGGACGUGUGGUUCUAUUUUGUUGGUUUCUAGGACCGCCGUAAUGAUUAAUAGGGAUAGUCGGGGGCAUCAGUAUUCAAUUGUCAGAGGUGAAAUUCUUGGAUUUAUUGAAGACUAACUACUGCGAAAGCAUUUGCCAAGGAUGUUUUCAUUUAUCAGUGAACGAAAGUUAGGGGAUCGAAGACGAUCAGAUACCGUCGUAGUCUUAACCAUAAACUAUGCCGACUAGGGAUCGGGCGAUGUUAUCUUUUUGACUCGCUCGGCACCUUACGAGAAAUCAAAGUCUUUGGGUCUGGGGG